rnacentral:rRNA from 1 species
GACGAACGCUGGCGGCGUGCUUAACACGUGCAAGUCGAACGAUGAAGCCCAGCUUGCUGGGUGGAAGAGUGGCGAACGGGUGAGUAACACGUGAGUAACCUGCCCUGAACUCUGGGAUAAGCACUGGAAACGGUGUCUAAUACUGGAUACGACCUAUCACCGCAUGGUGUGUGGGUGGAAAGAUUUAUCGGUUCUGGAUGGACUCGCGGCCUAUCAGCUAGAUGGUGAGGUAAUGGCUCACCAUGGCGACGACGGGUAGCCGGCCUGAGAGGGUGACCGGCCACACUGGGACUGAGACACGGCCCAGACUCCUACGGGAGGCAGCAGUGGGGAAUAUUGCACAAUGGGCGCAAGCCUGAUGCAGCAACGCCGCGUGAGGGAUGACGGCCUUCGGGUUGUAAACCUCUUUUAGUAGGGAAGAAGCGAAAGUGACGGUACCUGCAGAAAAAGCACCGGCUAACUACGUG